AUGGCAGAUAUUUGGGAUGAGGCAGCAUGCUGGUCCCUCAGCAGCAUCCUUAUCACGUCAGCUGUGAGAGAAAUAAAACUGUGAGACUGUGAAGUGUAUAAAGGAUUCUACCGCUCUCCCGGGGCUUGGAGACCCACAGAUUGGAGAAAUCUCCAUCUCAAUCUUCUUUGCCACGUCAUGCAUGCCCUUGAAGCAUUAGAAUUCCUUAAAGCUUCAUGGGAGAAUGCCAUGGGAUGAUGAAGACAGAGAUUGGAGUCAUGCAUCUGCAAGCCAAGAAAUGUACAAGAUUGCUGGCAAACCACCAGAAGCUAGGAGCAGACAAGGAAGGAUCCUCCCCUAAAGGUUUCAGAGGGAGCCAUGGCCUUGCUGACAUCUUGAUUUCAGACUUCUAUCCUCCAGAAUGAAGUAGCCAAAGAAGAUGUUGAGAAAAAAAAGAAAAAAGACCUUCCAGAAGGUGGAGCCAAGAGUGGUGGAGAACAGCGGACACAAGGUCUACCCCUAAGGAGCAGAACUGGGGCCUGGAGGAGAAACAUUACUAAUCCCAGGGAAGGGCUUGGACACUUUUGCCCAGCAGACUUUUCGUCUUGCUGUGAAUGAGAGCAGCAAUAGGCCACUUAUCCUUUCCUUUUCAAAGAGGAGAGGGCCUGUCCCUGUUCUACCAUGUGUGUUAGGCAAGGAGGGAGCACAUAUCUUGCCUUUUCAGUUCUUUGGUCUUUAAAUCAACCCAAACUUGAUGUGGUUUAAGAAAUCAUGGGCUUUGAGCCCGAUGCCGUGAUUAGAUGAGGCUUUUGAGGAUCCUGAGAUGGGGUUUCUCCUACUAAUGGCACCUUUGAGUUUGGAUUUGACCUUGCAAUUUGCUUUGGUCAUGUGGGAGACCAGAAUAUGCCAUCCCCAAAUAUGAAGGAUGGUUGGACUGAAGAUGAUUAGUAAGAAGCAGAUACAGGAAUGCUGUCUGCCAUCCCUCUAUUUGCCUUUACUUGUCUAAAAGCAAGACUUAGAUUUACCAAGACAUGAGGAUAUCCUGCCCCUCCACCCUUCCCUUCUACCAAAGAGAGGAAAGAUAAACCACUGAAGACAACCUGAGAUCCUUAUUGGCUUUGACACAGUACUAGAGAAAUUCACAUUUGCUAACUUUGCUAACUAGCCUUUAUCUGCCAUUUACUUGCCUUCCUCCCAGUUACUUAUCCUAGAGUCUCAAAGUCUUUUUAUGUCUUGUCAUUUCUCUAAAAAUUUAACUUUCUUUGUUGAAGAUGCUAUAUAAGCAGAAAUUCAAAGCCACUACUUUGAGAACUACUC
ensembl:lncRNA novel transcript